GGGGUUGUGGCUCAGCGGUGGAGCACUUGCCUAGCACAUGCAGGGGGCUGGGUUCAAUCCUCAGCACCACA
rnacentral:tRNA from 1 species